GAUGAACGCUGGCGGCGUGCCUAAUACAUGCAAGUCGAACGGGGUGUUUGAGCAAUCGGACACUUAGUGGCGAACGGGUGAGUAACGCGUUGGUGACCUGCCCCAAAGCGGGGGAUAACAGCCUGAAAGGGUUGCUAAUACCGCAUAUGAUGAUGAGAGACUAGAAACUUAUCAUUAAAGGAGAAAUCCACUUUGGGAGGGGCCUGCGUCCCAUCAGCUAGUUGGUAGGGUAAAAGCCUACCAAGGCGAAGACGGGUAGGGGACCUGAGAGGGUGACCCCCACAAUGGAACUGAAACACGGUCCAUACACCUACGGGUGGCAGCAGUAGGGGAUAUUGCACAAUGGGCGGAAGCCUGAUGCAGCAACGCCGCGUGAGUGAUGAAGGCCCUCGGGUCGUAAAACUCUUUUCAAGAGGAAGAGGAAGGACGGUACUCUUGGAAUAAGCCUCGGCUAACUACGUG
rnacentral:rRNA from 1 species